rnacentral:rRNA from 1 species
AUUGAACGCUGGCGGCAGGCCUAACACAUGCAAGUCGAACGAGCGGCGGACGGGUGAGUAAUGUCUGGGAACCUGCCUGAUGGAGGGGGAUAACUACUGGAACCGGUAGCUAAUACCGCAUACCAUCAGAUGUGCCCCGAUGGGAUUAGCUAGUUGGUGGGGUAAUGGCUCACCUAGGCGACGCUCCCUAGCUGGUCUGAGAGGAUGACCAGCCACACUGGAACUGAGACACGGUCCAGACUCCUACGGGAGGCAGCAGGGGGGAAUAUUGCACAAUGGGCGCAAGCCUGAUGCAGCCAUGCCGCGUGAGUGAAGAAGGCCUUCGGGUUGUAAAGCACUUUCAGCGAGGAGGCGUUACUCGCAGAAGAAGCACCGGCUAACUCCGUGCCAGCAGCCGCGGUAAUUC